AUAAAACCCUAGAGUUGUCAGCUAAGAGGCGCUGUGAAAGGAUUGCAGCAGUUAAUAGACAAAAAGAACCAAACAAAUUCUCGAAAGUAUGCUCUACUCACUUUAAUUCAGGUAAACCAGAUGUAGUGUAUGACGUCACCAUCCCAGAUUGGGUUCCUAGUUUAUUGUUGUCUGUAUCAGAAAGGCAACCACAAGAUAAAGAGACAGGCACCUCCACUCUCCCCAAAACUUCAAAAGUUUCAAGAUUCUGUAUCUCAAUGAUAUCCUGGCUUAUCGAUACGAUAUCCUGUAUAUCCAUUCACACACAUAAAUUUUACUCACACACGUAAAUCCUGUAAAUUUACUCACACUUAUAAAUCUUAAAAAAGAUGUUUAUAUUUUUAUCUAUAAUUUGUAAAUUUUAUAUAAAUAAAAAUGUAUAUUUUUUAUGUUUUUCAUUUUAUAUUACUAUUUGUAUUAAAAAUCGACUUUCGAAAUAUUGUAA